AUUGAACGCUGGCGGCAUGCUUUACACAUGCAAGUCGAACGGUAACAGGUUAAGCUGACGAGUGGCGAACGGGUGAGUAAUGCAUCGGAACGUGCCCGGUCGUGGGGGAUAACGCAGCGAAAGCUGCGCUAAUACCGCAUACGAUCUGAGGAUGAAAGCGGGGGACCGUAAGGCCUCGCGCGAUCGGAGCGGCCGAUGUCAGAUUAGGUAGUUGGUGGGGUAAAGGCCCACCAAGCCGACGAUCUGUAGCUGGUCUGAGAGGACGACCAGCCACACUGGGACUGAGACACGGCCCAGACUCCUACGGGAGGCAGCAGUGGGGAAUUUCGGACAAUGGGCGAAAGCCUGAUCCAGCAAUGCCGCGUGCAGGAAGAAGGCCUUCGGGUUGUAAACUGCUUUUGUACGGAGCGAAAAGGUCCUUUCUAAUACAAGGGGCUCAUGACGGUACCGUAAGAAUAAGCACCGGCUAACUACGUGCCAGCCGCCGCCGUAAUAC
rnacentral:rRNA from 1 species